rnacentral:misc_RNA from 1 species
CUUAAAGAUGGCUUCAAGUUCCACAAAUGUCAUACAUAUCAGUUAAGUUGUUCCAUAGCAAACCGUAAGUUCCAUUGCCCAUUAAAUAGCGAAAAACACUAAGGUUAGAAUGAACCAACGAAAUAAAAGCCUAAAGAAACAUCUAAAAGUGGCAAAAAGCACUUCCAAUUAACAUCAACUGACUCAUGAAUCCAUUACCGAUCCCGAGGAUCAUACAUCAUCUGGAGCAAAAAAUCCUUGCGCUCAUUGACUGGGAAGCCAAAAAAGGCUCUUACCCUUGCAGGAUCUUGAGUAAGGAAAGUGUAGGCUGUGUAUCUUAAGUGCCGCUCAACUCCUAUCUUCACAAGUUCUGCAUAAACUUCUCUCUCUGAGUAAACAUGCUGUCUAGCUCUCUCAAUAAUAGCAUUUCCCUCCCUGAUUGCCUCUGCAACAUCAUUAAUAGCAUCCUUGAUGCUCUUAAAUUUCCUCUCCCAUGUACGGGCCUUUCGCUUUCUGUCUUUCGGUAACAUUACAGGCUCAUCACAUUGUGUGUGGUAAUACACAAGGAGCAUACAGAUGGCAUGUACAACAUGACAAAGAACUUGAGCCACAGCCAUUCUUCGCCUUCGAUCCCAAAGCUCCCACCAAUUUUCUUCAUCAUCAUCUCGUCUAUUUUCACAACUAUCAAUCUGGGAAUUACUGGGGGUCAUGGUUUUGGGUAUUUUCUGCACGGACAGCUUCUUCUUGUUGGUGGUGCUGUUGAGCUUUUAAGAGAAAGGGCUUGAAACCAAUCUCGAGAGUUAGAUAGCCGAAAGCUAAGGCGCCAAUCACCACUAUCCCUGAUCUUAUCGCGUUCAGCCUCGUCUCUGGGUUCAUUCUCUUCCUUCUUCUCUGCCC